rnacentral:rRNA from 1 species
UACGAAGGGGGCUAGCGUUGUUCGGAAUUACUGGGCGUAAAGCGCAUGCAGGCGGCGAUUCAAGUCGGGGGUGAAAUCCUGAGGCUCAACCUCAGAACUGCCUUCGAUACUGUCUUGCUAGAGUAUGGAAGAGGUAAGUGGAACUGCAAGUGUAGAGGUGAAAUUCGUAGAUAUUUGCAAGAACACCAGUGGCGAAGGCGGCUUACUGGUCCAUUACUGACGCUGAGAUGCGAAAGCGUGGGGAGCAAACAGG